UUUGUGUUACAUGAAUUAUUUAUCUUUGUGUACUAAUAUUUAAAGUAUAUAUGAAUGUGUAAGAUCUGAGUUAUAUAUUUUUUAUUUAUGUGUAAGAAUAAAUGUGUGGUGAUAGAUAUGUGUGUUUUUAUUUGGAAAAACUAAAAGACUAAACUGUUAGAAUUUAUUCGACAUACAUUGCUCGACAUACAAUUCAUAGUUGCUUCACAGGCUCCAAUAUUUACUUUUUUCUUUUUAGCAUUUUGAGACAGAAUCUCACAUACUAGCUCAAGCUACCCUGGAACUUAAAAUAUAGCCCAGGGUGAUCAUAAAAUUCCUGUUAGUCUCCCUGCCUCAGUUACCUUCAUGUUGAUAUUAUAGGCACAAGACAUUAUAACAAGUAUUUACAGAAAAAAGAACAAAGAUUGUGACUUGAAAUUUCUUUUUCAUGUUUCAUUUUCACCUGGUUUAUAUUUUCUCUUAAUUUCUUAAGGAUGAAAUUUUCUUAAAAGGGGGUUGUUACGACAGACUUGUUAUGCUUACUGUCUGCUCCUGUAGCACAAUUUCACCUAACAGAUCUCCCAUUUUCUCACAAAACUACAUACAUAAUAAUACAUAGUAUUUACAUAACAAUCUGUAGUCAGUUAUAAAAACGAACCAAUAAAUAGUAAGUAAUAAAUAAUGUCAAUUAUGUCUAAGGAGUAACAAAGCAAGGACCUGUUCGUUUUAAACUCGUUUUGUUAACUAUGUCCUUGACUAAAUCUACAAAUUUUUUUUUGAAGGAAGAUAUUAUAUGUAAAGGGUAUUUUAAAAAGUAAUUAAUGUGGUGCUUGAGGGACACCUCAACAGUUAAGAGUACUUGCUCCUUUUACAUAUGGCCCAAGUUAGGCUUUUAGCAUCCUAUAUGGAGUCACAGUUGUCUGAUUCCAGUUUCAUGGAUGAUGCCUCUUCUGACCUCUAAGAUCCCACACAUGCACACACACACACAUGCACACACACUUUUUAAGGGAAUUAAUGUAUCAAACUGAAGAAGAGUUAGAGUUAUCACUUAAUAAAUACUCUUCAUUUUAUCACCCUAGCCAAGACUGUUUGCUACUUUCUUCUUGGUCUGUAUUUUUUUUUUACACCAGUGUUUAAGAAAUGUCCAUGAGAACAAAGCCUAUGUAGAACUCUGUUCAUCUGAUCAUUUUUUCUCAAGGAUUGUAGGUUGUCUAUUGACUGUUUAAACACACAUGUACGUGUGUGUAUAUAUACCACAUAUAUUCAGCUUUUGUAAGUGAUUGUAACAAGACAGUACUUCAGUACUAGUUACUCUAUUUAGCCAAUGAAAGUUUAAAAAAGAAUGUCUUGAUUGCUUUAAAAUAUAAGAUUAUGUCAUUGUAUGAUACUGGGCUUUUUUUUUUUUUAAACUUGAAAACAUUUAAUAUAUUAAUGUGUUCAGAGAUCAUUCUUUAUUUGAACGAGACAGAUAAUUAUGUGAAUUAGAAGGACUUGUGUCUCAUUGAUACCUGCCUACAGACAUCUUAUAAAAUCAAGAUGGUCUGAAUUACACUAAUUUGAUAAAGAGGUAAAAUGAUGCUUGAUUUCCAAAGAUAGAACCCAAGCAGCUGGGCCAUUGCUUAGUUUGAUAUUUUAGAUUUCUACUAAGUAGUCAUUUACCAGAUUUGAGACAACUUAAUCCUAGUUGAGCAAGGUUAGCUUGAAAAAUAUCUUUCAUUGGCUGAUCAAUUGGUAAUACUGAAUUAGUUAACAUUUUUGUGUUUGCUGUUUACAAAGCCAUCAUCUUAAAACAUUUCAUCAAUGUUUAUACUUUUUGUUUCUCUACCAUAGAGUUUGUAUGAGAAAUUAAUUGUGACAUACAGUAACUUGUGAGUUACCUAUAGUCUUUGUGUCUAUGAGUGAUAGACACUUGGUUAAGACAGAAUCUGUCACUGGGGCCUGGGUAUAACUCUGAGCUUUCAGUGCCAGUGGUUCUUAUUUCUUAGGGUUCACACCUCUGAGCUCUUGGUACUAGAAGCUCUCUGCAUGUAGUGUUAACAGCUUUCCCAGCUUCUCUUGGUAAAUCUAGCAGCUCUUUCUUUGCUCUGGACAACUCAAUAUACACUUCACUGCCCUCUGGCUGCUAGGUAUUUUCUGGACCUUGGUGUUGGUUGCAGCAAGAGUUGUGAACAAAAACUGAUUCUUUAGAGGAUCAAGACCCUAUAGUCUAAAGUUAGCUUUUCUUUCCCGUAAGUAUAAUCCACCCAGCAACUAUUCUCUAGCUAAUCAUCCUAUAAAUGAAAAGUGCCCAUAUGCGGAAGAUUGUCUGCUCUUGAUAUGUCUUAACUUCCAAAUGGUGAAACAAUGCUGGAAUUUGUUUUCUAUAUUUAUAUGCAUUGUAUGUACAUACAUUACUUUGAAAAAUCUUUGUUCUAACAUACAUCACACACACACCAUGUAAACCCCCUACACACAUACACGCACACAAUUUUUACCUGGUAACUUCUUUCCUCCUCACUGGGAAUCUGUUAUAGUAAUAUACAUUCCUCUUAAAUAUUUUUUGGGGGGUUUUCGAGACAGGGUUUCUCUUUAUAGCUCUGGCUGUCCUGGAGCUCACUUUGUAGACCAGGCUGGCCUCGAACUCAGAAAUCCGCCUGCCUCUGCCUUCCGAGUGCUGGGAUCAAAGGCAUGCGCCACCACGCCCAGCCCUCUUAAAUAUUAUUGAUAUUUUUUGUUUGUUUGUUUUUUUAGUUUUUUGAAGUCCAUAUAUCCUUUCUAAAAUUUUAUUUUAUUUUAUGUGUGUGAGUGGUUUUGCCUGCAUGUAUGCUUGUGCACUGUACCUGGCAGCCUGAUACAAAGUUAAACAGUCCUCUGGAGCCAGUGGGCAGAGGGGAGCUGGUGUUGUUGGCGGUGGGGUUGGAGGUGGGGCAGGCAGGAGGUGAGGCUGAUUAUAGGAAAAGUGGAAAAAAAGAAGUAAGGGACAAGUAUGGGAGGGCCACUGGUGAGUUCCAGGCAGCAGCGAGUGUAUCUCUCAUAGCCUUCUUAUACUACAGUACCAUGGGAAGGAAAGCCUCAAGCGAACAGAAAUAGUUUUGCUAAAAUGUACAAAAGACAUUUGUUCCCGUUCCAAAAACCUCUCUGUUCCUUCCACUAAGGUUAAUAGAAUCUUCAGUUCUUAGCCUUGAGCCUCAGGUACACCACCUCUUAGCAUUCUAUGCCUCAGCAGCUGGGAAAUCUCCCAAUAGGCCCUGACUUCUUGACUCUCCCUGGCAGACAGAUUUUUUUCUUUCCUUUUCCUUUGUUUCAGAGAAGCAGUAAAACAACUGCCGACAGUGUACCGCAUGCAUACCUGGUGCCCUUGGAAGCCAGGAGAGAGCAUCGUAUCCCCUUGGAAUUGAUUAUGAGCUGCCAUGCAGUUACUGGGAAUGCAGGUCUUCUGGAAGCAGCCAGUGUUCUUAACUGCAGAGCCAUCUUUCUAGCCUCCUAAUUUUUUUUUAACAUAGUAAUUUGUUUAGUUUCCACAAAGGAAAGCAACAGCUGCUGUAUAUGAAGAGUUAGUAAUAGUGUUAUGACUUUUUUUUCUGAAUGUGUAAGCAUUUCCUUUUGACUUGUUUAUGAUAAACAUCAAAGCUGAUAGUUUUAGCUGCUUCUUUGAUAGUUUAGAAAAAAAUCCCCAUGUAAAAGGAGAUCUGGAAGUAGACACUUUACAUUGAAUAAGUACUUAAUUUUAGCACAAUGUUAGCUUACAUCUUGGAUUCAGUAAUUUUUCUCUUUAACUUUUUUACUGAUGCUUUGUGAAUUUCACAUCAUGCACCCUGGUCCUACAUAUUUCUGUCUUUCCAUAUCCACCCUUGACCCUUGCAAACCCCUUCCCCCAAAGAAAACAAACAAACCAACUAAAAAUCUCACUGUAGAAGCUGUGGUGUGUCACUGUUUGUCUCAUAGUAUACCCUGUUGUUCAAACAGCUUUACUUGUAAGUGUUCAUUGCAAUGAGUCAUUGGUCUGGUUUGAGACAGUUAAUUGCUUCUGCUAUGAUGUCAAUAGUGGAUCUUCUCUGAGAUUCCUUUUGGAUAUCCUGUGUCAUGGAGAUCCUGCAGCUUUGGUUCUGCAGGAUUGUCCCUUUCACAAGCUCUAGCAGUUCAUAAAUGGGGUAGAUGUUGGGGUGGACCUCAAAGACCUGGAUCUGGUAUUGGGUGGUAGCUGAGUCAGUCUGUCCCUUAGGCCAGCUCACAUACACCCAUGCCACCAGGGACAGCUCUGCAGUGCUGCACAGGGAAGGUGCAGCCAUGUCCAAGGACUGCAGCUGGUAAGGGGCAGGGCCAGGUUUGCUCAGGCCUCAGACAUCAACAUGGCCCUAGGUGGCAGACCAGACUAGGGACUUCCACAUAGCCUUUUGUGGUAACAUAAGCCACUGACAUCAACAUAGACCCCCUGCUGCUGGAAGGCCACAGAGCCAGACAUAGCCCUCAGUGGCAUAUGGGCCAGGAUAUUGCCAUGGCCUUAGAUGGCAGUGCAGGCUACUCACAUCAGGCUGUUCCUCACCAUCUCUGCAUCUCCAUUUUCGCUUCUCUUCAUAGUGCACAAACUUCUCAGCUUCUCUUUCUCUCCCACCUUUCCCUCACAUAAACUGUUCAUCAUCGUGGCACCUGCUUGUGACUUGUCAGCAGUGACAUCUUCUUUUGAAAGAUAGGAUGAUUAAUGUCUGUCCAACUCAAAGAUUACAAGGAAAAUAAAUCCUUGGCCAAAGUUAAACAGAGCACAGAAAAACUGUAAUUCAGCAUAGGGUCCAGUUUUAUGGUUGAACAGCCACUUGGUAGGCCAGUGAUGAGAAGCAAAUGCAGCAGGACAUGGAGUCAGUUGGGAGUCUGCACUUUGGAGAUACUGCUCUUCUUCUGGGCUAGGAUGCAACUCUGAGAAUAACAACCACUCACACAGUCGUCAGUUUUCUCAAAGGAUGAAAGCACAGGCUCAUUGACACCUGAGUUUGCUACUGGAUCUAUUGAUGGACAGGGUAACCCACCAUUUUCCAAGGAGCAAGAACCACAACUGCCUCUGAGUUUCCUGUUCCAUCUUUCUUCCAUCACCCAAGGCUUUUCUUCUACUCUCAUCUCUACACCACCUUCUUACUCACUUCUUUCUCUCCGAUCAUACCAACACUUAAUUGCUUGCUUCUGCCACCUUGUCUCAUCCAAUACAUUUUCCUUUUAUAGUGCUAGGAAUCAAACCCUAGGUCUCAUUCAUGCUAACGAAGCACUCAGCCACUGAGCAGUACUACCACGAUGCUAUCGUCGUGUCACUUAAAAAUAUUUUGAUUUUUAGAUUUUAUUUUAUGUGUAUGAGUGUUUUGCUCUGUAUGUAUAUUUUUUCAAAAGCAUGCCUGUUGCCUGUGGAGUUCAGAAGUGGUCAUUGCAGAUACUCUGCAAGAGCAACAACUCUUCUUAACUACUGAAUCACGCUCUAGCUCCAGGCCAUUUAUUUUUAUUAUUGUGUAAUUCUUUUACUUCAUUUUCUUUUGAGGCAGGGUCUUGUUGUGUAGCUCUGACUCACCUAAAAUUCACUGUAUACCAGACUGGCCUUGAAUUUGGUUUUCUUUAAUGGUUACUUUUCACAGUCAACUUAGCACAAUCUAGAGUCACCUGAGAAGAUAGUCUUGAGAUUGUCUAGUUUAGGUUGAUUUGUGUCCAUGUUUGUGGUGGAUUUUCUUAAUUGCAUUAAAAUUGAGGUAGGAAAGCUUAGCUUGAAUGUGAAUGACACUAUUUCAUGAAUUAGGCAAAAAGAGGGGAGAGUGUGUGUGUAUGCUCUCUUUACUGUGGAUAUACUAUGACUAGAUGCUUCAAGUUCCUGCUGUCUUAACUUCUUCACAAUGGUGGACUCUAGUCAGGAAAUUUGAGCUAAAAAAGGCCCCCUUUCCUUAAGUUCAGGAUGUUUUAUCAUGGCCACAGAAAGGCAAGUAGGAUACAGUCUUGCCUAUGUCUCUGUCUCUUGAGUGCUGGGAGUACCGGCAUCACCACCAUGCCUGUAUGAUACUACUUGUCAUUAUUAUGAGACAGCUUAUAUUCUUUUUAAUUAUAUUUUGUGUGAAAAGUCUACUAGUUUUGCAAAAAUUCUAGGACACCUACUUAGAUCUGGUCCUGGAUUAUAUGAUAUCUAGUUAUCAGAUGGGUAGUUUAAAUAUAUACCCAUAUCAAAAUUAAAACUAAGAAUUCUGAACAAUUGCUAUAUAAUAAGCAGUGUAGUAUAGAGAGGCAACAUAGUAUAAUAAAAAUUUGGGGCUGAGGACAUUGGUCAAUGAUGGAGUCAGUACUUGAGGUGGUAGGUUUAAUCCCCAGCACUGGAAAAAUAUUAUUAAUAUUUUUGUGGUUAUCCCAACGUGGAAUAUGAAGAAGGAUUUUCAGUUCAAGAACUACAAUGAGUAUAUAAAGGUCCAGUAUAACAUUGGCUACCAAACAAACAAACAAACAAACAAACAAAACAAAACAGUACAUGAGCCCCAGCACCUUUGCCUAUUAAGCUAUCUCAAUGGCACCAAUCUUUGAAAAAGGCUCAGUUUAUGCUCUGUUUGUUUCCACUUAGAGUUUUAUGAAUGCGUUUUUAAAAAUAAGUUGACAAAAACAUCGCCAUGGGGUGUGUACAUGCAUUUGCUGUGUGCGUGUUUAUGUAUGUACAUGAAGGCCAGAGGUAAAUCUUGGGUACCUUCCUCAUUCACUUUCUGUUUCAACACCUUAUCAAAAUCACUAUUAUUUGCGGUUUGUCUAUUAUGAAGAACCAUUUCUGGAAGUAUUUCUUUAUCCAGAAAGGUGAUCCAAGUCUAUCCUCUGAUAGUUGCUGAAGGAUUUUGGUCUUUUAAGGCCUAUUAUAAUGUGCCAUUGGGCUAAACAUAGAGGAAACUCUCCCCUGUAUCCUGUUGGUCCUCAGAAGAACAUCUUUAUAAAUAGGUACUUCAGGCACCAUCAAGGUUAAAUGAUUACUUUUUUUUUUUUUUGCUUUUUGAGACAGGGUUUCUCUGUGUAGCCCUGGGUGUCCUGGAACUCACUCUGUAGAUCAGGCUGGUCUCGAACUCAGAAAUUCACCUGCCUCUGCCUCCCAAGUGCUGGGAUUAAAGGCGUGCGCCACCACUGCCCGGCUAAAUGAUUACAUUUUAAAAUGCAGAAUCCUUUUAGUUUUCAGUGAAGAUAUAUACAUUCAUAUAUGUGAACUGUAUAUGCAUAAUGGAUCAGGUUAUAGUUAUUAUAAAGAGUCCCAGCUUAGCUGUGAACUUUUUCUUUUCAGUAUAUUAACCCUUACUUACACUCACUCAGUCCUAGGUUCUAUACAAUACAGCUAGGGUACUGUUGAAGUAAUAGUUCACAUAGUUUAGGGUCAUGAAACUGCUUUCUGAAGACGGUAAGUAGCUCUCUGUCCAAGUCUACAGAGCUGCUGCUCAGUCUUCUCUACAGCCAGGUCUCAAACGUCUCUCUUCCUUCUUAGCCUACCAACAAGGAUCUUUGUUUACUAAGGCAGUUAUUGUUCUUAAAACUCUAGCAACAAAAUGCAGUACAUUGUUAGGAAUAAUCUCUAUUUGUAAAAUUGCAAUUUACCCUAAGGUAUCUGUAGUUGUAUUUAUUAUCACUUGAGCUAUAGCUAUUCUUCAAAUGCCUUGUUCUUUUAUUGGUCCUUAUGUGAAACAAGGGAAAUUGAAGGGCUAGCAAUAUUAACAGAGCGACUAAAACCACACAUAAACUUUGGAAUUGUUUCAGUAUACUAUUUUUUAUCAUUCACUGACUCAACUAAUCAAAUAUUAAUUUACUGCCUUUUAAAAACAUCCUACUGAGAAUUGUUAGUACAUGGCAAGUUUCUCUCUCAGCUGUUUUCUUUUUAUUCUCAUCCUGGCAAUUUUAUCUGCUCUAUUUAUCACCCUUUCAGUGACAGCCUGUAAGGAAUAUGACCAUUCUGCACAUUGCCUGGUGUUUCUUACAGGCUUUCCUUUGAAAUGUGGGUAGAAACAUCUGUGACCUUAAAUUUUUAUAAUCUGCAUGCCCACUAAAACAUUAAUCUGCACGCCUGCAAAAACAUUAUGUGGACAAAACCUAGGUUUUGCUGCCAGCAUGAAUCAGAGCUGGGCCAUGGUUGAAGUAGUCUCCUUGUGCCUAAUACUACUGGAUUCAUAAAAAAUGCUUCUGUGGAUGGUCUUGUGCAAGCAAGGUGUCAGGUUGCACUCUAUACUC
rnacentral:lncRNA from 1 species